CGUAGGGAGCAAGCGUUGUUCGGAUUUACUGGGCGUAAAGGGCGCGUAGGCGGCGCGGUAAGUCACUUGUGAAAUCUCUGAGCUUAACUCAGAACGGCCAAGUGAUACUGCAGUGCUAGAGUGCAGAAGGGGCAAUCGGAAUUCUUGGUGUAGCGGUGAAAUGCGUAGAUAUCAAGAGGAACACCUGAGGUGAAGACGGGUUGCUGGGCUGACACUGACGCUGAGGCGCGAAAGCCAGGGGAGCAAACGGGAUUAGAUACCCCGGUAGUCCUGGCCCUAAACGAUGAAUACUUGGUGUCUGGAGAUUUAAUGCUCCGGGUGCCGUCGCUAACGUUUUAAGUAUUCCGCCUGGGGAGUACGCUCGCAAGAGUG
rnacentral:rRNA from 1 species